rnacentral:snRNA from 1 species
UGCUGUGCUCUGGCUGCGACAUCUGUCAACCCAUUGAUUACCAGGGUUGAUUUGGCUGAUCUGGCCAACUAGGCGGGUGUCCCCUUCCUCCCUCACCACUCCAUGUGCGUCCUUCCCAAAGUUGCACUCAUCGGAAGAGGACGGCCUUUCCCCGAAUAUAGACGACUGGUCUUCAGUGUAGAGUAUACCAGUAGCUGCGCUCCCCUGCUAGAACCUCCAGACAAGCUCUCAAGGUCACUUUAGUAAUAUUUAGAAAAAAUCAAAUGAAAUAUUCAAGAAAACAACUACUUGGGGUAAGAAAGGAGAGGAGGUAAGU